CUCUGAUUUCCUGGAGCAGUGGUUUGUAGUGCUUAUAGUAGUUUCUGAUGGCUGUUUAUAUUUCUAUGAGGUCUGUGAUAAUCUCUCCUUUAUCAAUUUUUAUUGUGUCUAUUUAAUUCUUCUCUCUUUUCUUAUUUUUUAGUAUAGCUAGCAGUCUAUCUAUUUCAUUAUUUUUUUCAAAAAACAGCUCCUGGAUUCAUUGAUUCUUUUUUAAAAGUUGAUGGUUAUUUCUUGACUUCUGCUGGCUUUGAGGUUUGUUUGCUCUUGUUUCCCUGAUCCAUUCUGUAGGAUGUGCUCUCUCCCCACACCAACCUUCAUGCUUCUUU
rnacentral:lncRNA from 1 species